rfam:TPA: Bos taurus chromosome 10, whole genome shotgun sequence.
UCCCAGGUGGCUCAGUGGGUAAAGAAUCUGCCUGAAAUGCAGGAGAUACAGGAGACGUGGGUUCAAUCCCUGGCUUGGGAA